ACGCUAUUGGUAGUACUGUCAGUACUUGCAGUGCAUAACGGAACGCACCCCAAGACGCUUCAAAUGCCUGUCCUUACGAGAAGAAGAAUAUGCUCGUGCUACACAGCUACAAGUGUUAUAACCUGGUCCAUUUGCUUAGUAACGGUAGCAUCUACAGCGUUCGUGAACCGUAUAUUUUAUGGUACUUGCAACGUAGCGGUCAAAGCAUUUAAUAGCGCAUACUGGACCGCAUUAUAAUAGAGAUUAUUAAAAAAUGUCUGUAGUAUUAUACUAAUUGCUUAGAAAAGAAA